rnacentral:rRNA from 1 species
UACGGGGGGGGCAAGCGUUGUUCGGAAUUACUGGGCGUAAAGGGCUCGUAGGCGGCCAACUAAGUCCGACGUGAAAUCCCCAGGCUUAACCUGGGAACUGCGUCGGAUACUGGAUGGCUUGAAUUCGGGAGAGGGAUGCAGAAUUCCAGGUGUAGCGGUGAAAUGCGUAGAUAUCUGGAGGAAUACCGGUGGCGAAGGCGGCAUCCUGGACCGACAUUGACGCUGAGGUUCGAAAGCUCGGGGAGCAAACAGG